GAUGAAUGCUGGCGGCGUGCCUAACACAUGCAAGUCGAGCGGUAACAGGAGUAGUUUACUACUUGCUGACGAGCGGCGGACGGCUGAGUAACGCGUGGGAACGUGCCCCAAAGUGAGGGAUAAGCUCCAGAAAUGGAGUCUAAUACCGCAUAUGAUCUUCGGAUUAAAGGAUUUAUCCGCUUUGGGAGCGGCCCGCGUUAGAUUAGGUAGUUGGUAGGGUAAAGGCCUACCAAGCCGACGAUCUAUAGCUGGUCUGAGAGGAUGAUCAGCCAGACUGGGACUGAGACACGGCCCAGACUCCUACGGGAGGCAGCAGUGAGGAAUCUUCCACAAUGGGCGAAAGCCUGAUGGAGCAACGCCGCGUGAAGGAUGAAGGCCCUCGGGUUGUAAACUUCUUUUAUAAGUGAAGAAUAUGACGGUAACUUAUGAAUAAGCACCGGCUAACUACGUGCCAGCAGCCGCCGUAA
rnacentral:rRNA from 1 species